AGUGGAUGGGGAGCAACCUAGUUGUGCGUGUGUAAAGGUAGUGCCAAGAAAAGCGAUGAUCAUGUUGAAAAUCAAUUCCCGGUACCCGAAACCGACACAGGUGGGCAAGUAGAGAAUACUAAGGGGCGCGAGGUAACUCUCUCCAAGGAACUCGGCAAAAUGACCCCGUAACUUAGGGAGAAGGGGUGCCACCGAGAGGUGGUCGCAGUGAAGAGGCCCAGGCGACUGUUUAGCAAAAACAUAGGUCUCUGCAAACUCGAAAGAGGAGGUAUAGGGGCUGACGCCUGCCCAGUGCCGGAAGGUUAAAGAAGUUGGUCAGUCUUAGGAUGAAGCUAGCGACUGAAGCCCCGGUGAACGGCGGCCGUAACUAUAACGGUCCUAAGGUAGCGAAAUUCCUUGUCGGGUAAGUUCCGACCCGCACGAAAGGCGUAACGAUCUGGGCGCUGUCUCGGAGAGAGGCUCGGCGAAAUAGGAUUGUCUGUGAAGAUACGGACUACCUGCAUUUGGACAGAAAGACCCUAUGAAGCUUUACUAUAGCUUGGAAUUGUGUUCGGGCUUCCUGUGCGCAGGAUAGGUGGGAGGCGUAGAAGGUAUUCUUGUGGGGAUACUGGAGCCAACGGUGAGAUACCACUCUCAGGAGGCUAGAAUUCUAACUUAAUUAAGGACAGUUUCAGGUGGGUAGUUUGACUGGGGCGGUCGCCUUCAAAAAGGUAACGGAGGCGUACAAAGGUUCCCUCAGACUGGUUGGAAAUCAGUCGAAGAGUGCAAAGGCAGAAGGGAGCUUGACUGCGAGAAGUACAGUUCGAGCAGGGUGGAAACACGGUCUUAGUGAUCCGACGGUGCUGUGUGGAAGGGCCGUCGCUCAACGGAUAAAAGUUACUCUAGGAUAACAGGCUGAUCUCCCCCAAGAGUUCACACCGACGGGGGGGUUUGGCACCUCGAUGUCGGCUCAUCGCAACCUGGGGCGGAAGUACGUCCCAAGGGUUGGGCUGUUCGCCCAUUAAAGCGGUACGUGAGCUGGGUUCAGAACGUCGUGAGACAGUUCGGUCCAUAUCCGAUGUAGGCGUGAGAAUAUUGAGAGGAGCCUUCCUUAGUACGAGAGGACCGGGAAGGACGCACCGCUGGUGUACCUGUUAUGAUGCCAAUUGUAAACGCAGGGUAGCCAAGUGCGGAGAGGAUAACCGCUGAAAGCAUCUAAGUGGGAAGCCCACCUCAAGAUGAGUAUUCUGGUGUAAGGUCACGGGAAGACGACCCGUAAAUAGGCACGAGGUGGAAGUGCAGAGAUGUAUGAAGCCGAAGUGUACUAAUAGACCGUCGGCUUG
rnacentral:rRNA from 1 species